rnacentral:rRNA from 1 species
AAUGAACGCUGGCGGCGUGCUUAACACAUGCAAGUCGAGCGAGGCCAGGGGGGCAACCCCCUGAGUCGAGCGGCGGACGGGUGAGUAACACGUGGGUAACCUACCCGGAAGUGGGGAAGUACCUCGGGGAAACGUCGAGCUAAUACCGCAUGACAUCUUUGGGGCGAAAGUCCUGACGAUCAAAGCGGGGUCGCAAGAUCUCGCGCUACCGGAUGGGCCCGCGCCCGAUUAGCUAGUUGGUGAGGAACGGCUCACCAAGGCUUCGAUCGGUAACCGGCCUGAGAGGGCGAUCGGUCACACCGGAACUGAGACACGGUCCGGGACUCCUACGGGAGGCAGCAGUGGGGAAUCUUGCGCAAUGGGCGAAAGCCU